AAUACGGAGGGUGCGAGCGUUAUCCGGAAUUACUGGGUUUAAAGGGUGCGUAGGCGGCGUAGUAAGUCAGGAGUGAAAGUUUGCGGCUCAACCGUAAAAUUGCUUUUGAUACUGCUAUGCUAGAAUUAGGAUGAGGUCAGCGGAAUGUGGCAUGUAGCGGUGAAAUGCAUAGAUAUGCCAUAGAACACCAAUUACGAAGGCAGCUGGCUAGACCUGGAUUGACGCUGAGGCACGAAAGCGUGGGGAGCGAACAG
rnacentral:rRNA from 1 species